rnacentral:lncRNA from 1 species
CCAGCCGCUCUGCAAUCCUAAAUUGACGUAGUCCGUUAUAUCUUGAAUGUCCCCGAUAUAGUUCCCCCACGCGUCGAUUUCUGCCGCGUAAGCUCGUCUGCCAGCCGACCAGACCAUGAGCCAAGUUUGAUCGCCGAACCUUUCCAGGUGGUGAUCACCGCCUUCCGAGAUCGUCGGUGUCUCGGUCAUGACUUUAGAAAACAGAAUCUCUUUCUUUGCGGCGUCGUACUGCAGCAGCCUCAGAUCUGUGGGGUCCGAGUCGAGCUCUGUUGCAAUGUACUUGUAGAGAAUCAGCCACACAUCCCCUCUAAAGUGCGACACGACCGGGUGGUUGUCCCGAUGCGUGUUGUCCAUGGCGGUGUUGAUGUUCUCCGUCUGGCCGCGGCCUAUGACUUUGUUGCCGUUGAAAAAAACUCCUGGGCCUCCGUCUGUUCCGCAGCUGAAUCCGAAUCGCUUGUUUUCGUCGUCGAAGCCGAGGUGGCGUCCGUUGCAGUGCGAGCACCAAAGCCUCGACUCGACCUGCUCUCCGUCGCUGGCGCGGUACACCUUCCCCUGACAGCCCCAGUGAUAGUUGCAGAUGUUGCCCAUGUUUGUUGAGAAAAUCCAACCGUACACCCAGUCAUCGACUUCCUGCUUGGUUUCUGGGUCCGUGUACUUGGCCACUUUUCCGAAAAAGUCCCCCGUCGCUUCGUUCUGGCCGCCGUCGAAGUAGAACGCCUCCUUAGAGUAAAUCAGUUCGCCGUCCUCCUUGAGCUUCACCAGGUAGAGCUUCGCGGGGAUUUGUCCGCCGUUCACUGGAGCCAUCAGUGUGCCCACAUUGUACUUUUCCUUUCCGCAAGACCACCCCGUGCCGUCUUUCCCGCCUAGCCAGUCGUCGCUUUGGCAGUAAGUCGCUCCCGGUUUGCCCCGCCACGAAGCUGAACAGUUUGCGUUCUUAGUCCUGUCGAACCCGCAGUUCCCGUCCGUGCAGAGGCAGACGUCCUCCACGUUUUUGCACUGUGCCGCCCAAACGCCAAGCACGAUGGUGUUGGCGUGUGCGCCAUCGUCGGGGCCGUGCACAAAGAACGCCUGGUUCCGCUGCUGGGGGUAUGCAUCGAAAUCUGCAAACACGACUUCUGAGCCGAUUCGGCUGCCCGUUUUCGGGUCGUAGCGGGCAAAGUGAGCCUCGCAGCCAAUGUAGUAACUUCCUACUCGGCCUCGGCGAUACUCUUCGUUUGCGACAAACUCGUCGCCUUCUGGGCAGUGGUUGUACAUGACCCAGAUCGUGCCGUCCGCCAUGCUUUGGCUCAGAAGGCCGUGGUAUUCAUUUUGGAUGGUGUACAAAUGCGGAUUCUCUCCGUACUUCGUCAGCGACCUGGACAGAGUCUUUUCGAGCUCGAUCUCGAUCGCACCUAGGCGGGGAGUUGCCUUGGCAGGCCGGAAAAUCCCUCCAAGGGUUAGUCCAAUGGCCACCACUAGCAGAAGCCAUUGCAGAGGCAGGAGUCCCGGCCCGCCCGUGGGCCUCAUCAUGCCACCUGGAAGCGGCUGUAAACAGCUGACAGAGAGGAUCUAAGGAAAUAUUCGGGAUGGGUUUGCGAGGUCAAAUCGAACGGGUAGAGGUCUUGAGGGACGCCAGUUGGCCUCACUUAGGCCAUCGAUGCUUAUCGUGUCCAGCUACACACCAACAUGGUCACUUGCCCAGUAUUCCUCCUGCUCCCUCUGUACCGUUCUCAGUCGGCUAAGCAAAGAAAUCAUUCGUUUGUGUUAGCAUGCGCCUGACUGAACGAUAACAAAGUGCAAGAAAGGCGCAUCACAGAGUCACGGAAACAACUACGCGCUGCUCGCCCGCUAGUUGGCGCGCGAGCGGGGGUAAGGUGGCAAACAACGUGCCUUCUUCGCGUUCGAAUCAAAUCACUCCCUCGCAGCUACCCAGCUCCGGCCUCCAGUUGAGACCUGCAGGAGGCCUUGGAAACGCA